CCUACGGGAGGCAGCAGUGGGGAAUAUUGCGCAAUGGGCGAAAGCCUGACGCAGCGACGCCGCGUGAGGGAUGAAGGUCUUCGGAUCGUAAACCUCUGUCAGCAGGGAAGAACGGUCACUGUGCUAAUCAGCAGUGAAUUGACGGUACCUGCACAGGAAGCACCGGCUAACUCCGUGCCAGCAGCCGCGGUAAUACGGAGGGUGCGAGCGUUAAUCGGAAUUACUGGGCGUAAAGCGCUCGUAGGCGGUAUGUCAAGUCAAGGGUGAAAUCCCCGGGGUCAACGUGGGGCCUGCCUUUGAAACUAGCAAACUGGAGUGUGAGAGAGGAUAGCGGAAUUCCAGGUGAAGGGGUGAAAUGCGUAGAUAUCUGGAGGAACAUCAGUGGCGAAGGCGACUAUCUGGCACAUAACUGACGCUGAGGAGCGAAAGCGUGGGUAGCAAACAGGAUUAGAUACCCUGGUAGUU
rnacentral:rRNA from 1 species